rnacentral:piRNA from 1 species
AAUGUAAAUAUCUGUGCUUUCCAAUGGUC